rnacentral:rRNA from 1 species
UACAGAGGUCCCAAGCGUUGUUCGGAUUCACUGGGCGUAAAGGGUGCGUAGGUGGCGAGGUAAGUCGGAUGUGAAAGCUCGGAGCUCAACUCCGAAAUGGCAUUGGAAACUACCUUGCUUGAGGGUUGGAGGGGGGACUGGAAUUCUCGGUGUAGCAGUGAAAUGCGUAGAUAUCGAGAGGAACACCAGUGGCGAAGGCGAGUCCCUGGACAACACCUGACACUGAGGCACGAAAGCUAGGGGAGCAAACAGG